UCGGUCUCGCGUCGUUGCGCCCGCAGGGGCACCCCGGUCAUUUGCGCCGCCUCUAGUGUUGACGCAGAUCUAGGCGCCCUAUUUCAGGGCCACGGAAAACCAAAAUUCGUGUGGAUUGGACACUUCAAAGAAAGCCUAGCUCCCUCCCGCUGGGGGAGAGAGAGAGAGAGCCCUGGGUGGGAGAAGAGAACAAAAAACUCGAGGGCAUAGAGAGAGAGAAAGCUGUUGCGGAGGACACUUCAAAGAAAGCCUAGCUCCCUCCCGCGUGGGGAAGCCAUUGCGGUUGCAUAGGACUAUAGGAGGAGCAAGUGCAUGCGAGAGGAAAAAGUAGGAGGAGGAGGGAGCAUGGAGGAGAGAGUGAAGGGUGGAGGUGAGCCAUUGGAGGUGGAGCAGCAGGAGCGGGCAGCGAGGCUGGCCAAAAGGAGAUUUGGCGCCGUGGGCCCGCCGCCCUCCAGCUGAGUAGGAAGCGGCGAGGGAGGAGGAGGUGGUGGAGGAGGAUCUCCUCUCACGUCAAAGAGUAGGAGAAAGCAUAAAGAGAGGAGGAGGAGAGGGGGAAGGGGGAGAGCUUCCAGGCCGCACAAAGCGAGAGAAAAGCUUCAGAAAGAAAGAAAAGCGAGUAGGAAAGAAGGCUUCAGAGGAAGAGCAAGGCAUCCAUCCAGUGAGUGGCGGUCGUGAUAAAUAGCGGCUCCGAGCCGAGGGCAUCCGGUGCUCUCGCCACUACCGCGCAUUGCCUUAGCUUGUGUAGCAGCAGCAGCAGCAGCAGCUGGCCCGGUGUUGUGUUGGAGCUUGGUGGUGAUGGCAUUGCAAGAGCAGGAAGAGGAUGACGGCGAUCAUGGCACGGAGGAGGAAGAAGAUGAGGAGGGGAUGAUGAGGGUGUGGGGGAGCUGAUCUCUCCUUGUCCCGAGGUGUGCUGUCCACUUGUGGAGUAGUAAGAUAUUGGCACAAUAGGCUCAAUCACUUUCUUUCUUUUUGCCAUUUUUUUCUUGGUUUGCUGUUCUUCCUCUCAUUCAUCAUUACAUACUCUUCCUCGUGUAAUCUUGUUCCCGUUUGCUGUUUGUUUCUCGGCGCCUUGCUUGCCCGGUUUAGAAUGGAAGGCAACGGUUGGCAAAAAAA